UUUUUUUUGGAAGAAGCAGUGCACAUCAACCAUGUUGUAAGCAUUCAAGGAUGAGACAAAACGGCAGGAGAAAGAAGUGCAGAACAUCGUAGUACAUCUUGAUGUUGCCAGAUGCUGUCCUGUUAGAAAUUCUUCUUCACGUGGUCCUGGAGGAGGGUGAUGCUGCAUUGUUAAAUCUCUCUUUGGUUUGAUCCAAAUUCAGAAGUCUGGUGGACAGGUACACUUCUGAUGGCUUGAUGGUGUAACUAAAUGGGGAACAAAGUCUGAGCCAUCCCAGGAAUUUUAGAAAAUGUUUACACUGCAGCCGGCACUGCAAUGAAGUGUACAAUAACUGCUUACCAGGCUAUGUUGGAAGAGGAAAACGAGGAGAGAUGCAAGGCUUUUACUCCGAAAACACCCAUCCAGGGUUUUGCAGUUAGUGGUGCAUGAUGCUACAGGAGGAAUAACUCUGUAUAACACAUCUUCUAAAAGUUAAUGUGUGUGUGCGUGUGCGUGCGUGCGUGUGUGUGUGUGUGUGUGUAUGAAGAAGUUUCUUUGUCUCCGAGCU